UCCGUAGGGGGCAAGCGUUGUCCGGAUUUAUUGGGCGUAAAGAGCGUGUAGGCGGCUAGGUAGGUCCGUUGUGAAAACUCGAGGCUCAACCUCGAGACGUCGAUGGAAACCAUCUAGCUAGAGUCCGGAAGAGGAGAGUGGAAUUCCUGGUGUAGCGGUGAAAUGCGCAGAUAUCAGGAAGAACACCCGUGGCGAAGGCGGCUCUCUGGUACGUGACUGACGCUGAGACGCGAAAGCGUGGGGAGCAAACAGG
rnacentral:rRNA from 1 species